GCAUUAAGAACGAGAGAAACAUCUUUGAAGGGCUGCACAACGAAGGAAGAAAUCGAGAGCGAUCGAUCUAGCACUAGGGAUCAAUCGGGCUGAUUACACGGCGUCGUAGGACUGCAUCAAGCCACGACACACACAUGGAAAAGAAGAAAAAUCGAUCUCCAAAGAUCGAUCAGAAUACUACUUUACAUCAAUGCAAUCAAUCAUUGAUUGAUCUACAAACUAAUCAUCGUUUUGUUUUCAUAUUUUCCUAUCGGAAUGGAGAAACCAAUCUCUGGAACCAAUCGAUCAAGGAAGAAAUUAAUCUCUAAGAAGACCAAGAGGAAGAACAGAGAAAAGGAAGAAACCGAUCUCAAGAAAUCUCUGAAAAUCGAUUGGAUCAAUCAAAUCAGAGAAUAUCAAGAAAUCAUAACGGUAAGUAAGAAAUCAAGUUAUUUCUCACCGUUUUCUCCAGAUCUGUGGUUGCUUGCAGCCAUGAAGGCUACCUUUUGCUUCUGCGCCCCUGCAUCUUCGUCGUUUUUUAGUCGUCGUCAACGCACAUGGUACACCAACGGCCAUGCCGUCUUCGGGGCGGCGCAGCCGUCGCCUGACGACCUCCGUCCCAACUCGGCCCUCGGCACAGCCCCGCUCCACCAAGAGCAGGCGGUCGUAGGCCUCAAUGCCAGCCCACGGGCGUCGCUCUCGGCUCCGUGCGGCGUCCAAUCGGUGGCACACCAUGAUUUGCGGCGACGAGCAGCCUCGCUCCUCAGCGCCUCGGCUCCACGCGGCAACGGCCAACCAGCAACGCGCGACGGCGCAAUCUCCAGUGGCAGCACUUUGCCACAGCCCUCCUCCCCGCGAGAACCUCGAGCACGGCGUCCAAUCAGUGGCACACCAUGGCGCGGUCCUUCCCGGCGCUCGCCCUCCAGCCACCGUCGCUACCCCUCAGCCUCACCUCCACCACGAUCUGGCGGUAGUGGUUUCGGGGUGAAUCCCCUUGCAGGGUGAAUCCCCAACAGAUGGGAUGGAUGGGGAUUUUUUGUCAAUUUUUGAUUUAGUCCUCAUACUUUAUCAUAAUUCAGCGGACGAAUUUCUGUAGGCCCUCAGGCUUGCUAGUUUGCAAAUAGAACCCGGUUUAUACGGACAAUUGCGAACAAGUCCAACUAACAGUACUGUAGACACAGUACUUGUCAUGUUUUGGCUAUCAUGUUAAUUUUUAUUUACAUCCCAAUGCA
rnacentral:lncRNA from 1 species